rnacentral:lncRNA from 1 species
GUUUUCAUAAAUUUUCCUUGUGUUUGUUUCAAUUGUUCUGUUUUUUUUUUUCUAAAUGGAAUAAAGCCCUAAGCUUGUCAGCUAAGCUACUAUAACACUGAGCUAAAUCCCAACCCCUCAUAAACCUUCUUUGGAUUGAAAUAUAAGCCCACCUUGAUGUCAGGGAAGUCUUCAGUGACAAAAUGCCAUAAUAAUCAUGCCAUUCAAACCUUUCCCUAGAAGAAGACUAUAUACUUCUGAUUCUCUGCACUAUCACAUUCAUGGUGGUAACAUAGUACUGGUACUGUUUCCUUCAGGAAAACUUCUGUGAUUGUUGAAAUAAAAUCAAGAAGCUAUUCAUUGAGCCUAAAGAAGCCACAUCUGUCUACUAACAAUGUUGCAGAAAACAGCAAGUAAAACAGAGACGCCAGAGACUUUCAAUGAUUGUAACAGGUCUUUCCAGUCAUAGGUAACCCAUGUAUGCAGUUUGUCUUGCCUAGUGCAGGGAUCUAAAGCUUCCUCAGCAUUAUGAGUGCAAGAGAUAUGCAAACAACCGAGAUUGGAGCUGUUCACCCGUGUCUACAUUACAGUGCAGAGAGUCAAACUCAGAGUCUCACAAAGGAGAACAAAACUGUGAAUACUGUAUUCUCAUGAGAAGAAGUAGAACAAUCCGGAGUCUGAACAAACAGUCCCUCGCAGAGAAAAAAGCUCGAGAGUGACAAGAUGCCGACAGAUUAUGACAGCUGCUGUG